rnacentral:rRNA from 1 species
AGAACGAACGCUGGCGGCAGGCCUAACACAUGCAAGUCGAACGCUGUAGCAAUACAGAGUGGCAGACGGGUGAGUAACGCGUGGGAACCUUCCCAGUGGUGCGGAAUAGCUCAGGGAAACUUGAGGUAAUACCGCAUAAGCCCUUAGGGGGAAAGAUUUAUCGCCAUUGGAUGGGCCCGCGUCGGAUUAGCUAGUUGGUGAGGUAAUGGCUCACCAAGGCAACGAUCCGUAGCUGGUUUGAGAGAAUGACCAGCCACACUGGGACUGAGACACGGCCCAGACUCCGUACGGGAGGCAGCGAGGUGGGGAAUCGUUGGACAAGUGGGCGCAAGGCCUGAUCCAGCCAUGCCGCGUGAGUGACGAAGGCCGUUAGGUUGUAAGUCUCUUUGGCCGGGACGAUAAGUCGACGGUACCGGAGAACUAAGUCCCGACUAAC